rnacentral:snoRNA from 1 species
ACGCCUUGUGCCUCGCUCGGUUUAGAUCCUUUGAAUGGUUUUCUUUAAUUUCAUUAUUCUAGAAAAGCAUUCUUAGGAUAUUACCAAGUCUUGAGCUGGAUAUUUGAUUUCCUCGAGAGAUUCUGUCUCAUAGUGGAAGUGAAUAAUAGGCAAUAUUAAUUUCAAAGAUUUCCUUUGAGUGCGGUGACACCAAGGCUUCUUUUCUUUAUACUAAAGAAUAGCUGGAUGGUGGCACUGUAAUUAUAAAUCUUGACAUUU